rnacentral:rRNA from 1 species
AUUGAACGCUGGCGGCAGGCCUAACACAUGCAAGUCGAGCGAGCGGCGGACGGGUGAGGAAGGUAUGGGAAAUGCCGGAUAGAGGGGGAUAACGACUGGAAAAGACAGCUAAUACCGCAAACUAGCGGAUAACCCAUAUGGGAUUAGCUAGUAGGUGAGGUAAUGGCUCACCUAGGCGACGACCCCUAGCUGGUCGGAUCGGAUUAUCAGCCACACUGGGACUGAGACACGGCCCAGACUCCUCCGGAGGCAGCAUUGGGGAAUAUUCCACAAUGGGCGAAAGCCUGAUGCAGCCAUGCCGCGUGUAUGAAGAAGGCCCUCGGGUUGUAAAGUACUUUCAGUCGGGAGGCGUUACCGACAGAAGAAGCACCGGCUAACUCCGUGCCAGCAGCCGCGGUAAUAC